rnacentral:rRNA from 1 species
CAUGCAAGUCGAACGCUCUUCGGAUUUAGUGUCGCACGGGUGCGGAACACGUGGGAACAUACCCUUUGGUAAGGAAUAAUAGCUGGAAACGGCUACUAAUACCUUAUAAUGACUUCGGUCCAAAGAUUUAUCGCCAAGGGAUUGGCCCGCGCUUGAUUAGAUAGUUGGUGAGGUAAUGGCUCACCAAGUCUACGAUCAAUAGCUGGUCUGAGAGGACGACCAGCCACACUGGAACUGAGACACGGUCCAGACUCCUACGGGAGGCAGCAGUGAGGAAUAUUGCACAAUGGGGGAAACCCUGAUGCAGCCAUGCCGCGUGAGUGAAGAAGGCCUUAGGGUUGUAAAGCUCUUUCAAUAGUGAAGAUAAUGACGGUAGCUAUAGAAGAAGCUCCGGCUAAAUUCGUGCCAGCAGCCGCGGUAAUACGAAUGGAGCAAGCGUUGUUCGGAAUCACUGGGCUUAAAGCGUGCGCAGGCGGAAAAGAAAGUCAGAUGUGAAAUCCCAGGGCUCAACCCUGGAACUGCAUUUGAAACUUCUUUUCUAGAAUCCGGGAGGGGUCAGUAGAAUUACUAGUGUAGAGGUGAAAUUCGCAGAUAUUAGUAGGAAUACCAGUGGCGUAGGCGACUGACUGGACCGGUAUUGACGCUCAUGUACGAAGGCGUGGGGAGCAAACAGGAUUAGAUACCCUGGUAGUCCACGCAGUAAACGAUGUAUGCUAGCUGUUGGGGUCUUAGACUUCAGUGGCGGAGAGAAAUCAUUAAGCAUACCGCCUGGGGAGUACGGUCGCAAGACUAAAACUCAAAGGAAUUGACGGGGACCCGCACAAGCGGUGGAGCAUGUUGUUUAAUUCGAAGCAACGCGAAGAACCUGACCCACACUUAACUAUCCUCUUGGGGCUUUCAGAGAUGAUCGCUUUCGGUUCGGCCGGGGAGUGAAUAGGUGCUGCAUGGCUGUCGUCAGCUCGUGUCGUGAGAUGUUAGGUUAAGUCCUGCAACGAGCGCAACCCUUAUUGCUAGUUGCCAUCAUUUAGUUGGGCACUCUAGUGAGACUGCCGGUGAUAAGCCGGAGGAAGGCGGGGACGACGUCAAGUCAUCAUGGCCCUUACGUGUGGGGCUACAAACGUGCUACAAUGGUAACGACAAUGGGCAGCCACUUCGCAAGAAGGCGCUAAUCUCCAAACGUUAUCUCAGUUCGGAUUGUUCUCUGCAACUCGAGAGCAUGAAGUUGGAAUCGCUAGUAAUCGUGCAUCAGCAUGUCACGGUGAAUACGUUCCCGGGUCUUGUACACACCGCCCGUCACGUCAUGGGAGUUGGUUCUACCCGAAGGCCGCUGCGCUAACUACGGAGGCAGGCGACCACGGUAGGGUCAGCGACUGGCAC